UAACAGGAUUAGAUACCCUGGUAGUCCACGCCGUAAACGGUGGGUACUAGGUGUGGGUUUCCUUCCUUGGGAUCCGUGCCGUAGCUAACGCAUUAAGUACCCCGCCUGGGGAGUACGGCCGCAAGGCUAAAACUCAAAGGAAUUGACGGGGGCCCGCACAAGCGGCGGAGCAUGUGGAUUAAUUCGAUGCAACGCGAAGAACCUUACCUGGGUUUGACAUGCACAGGACGCCGGUAGAGAUAUCGGUUCCCUUGUGGCCUGUGUGCAGGUGGUGCAUGGCUGUCGCCAGCUCGUGUCGUGAGAUGUUGGGUUAAGUCCCGCAACGAGCGCAACCCUUGUCUCAUGUUGCCAGCGCGUUAUGGCGGGGACUCGUGAGAGACUGCCGGGGUCAACUCGGAGGAAGGUGGGGAUGACGUCAAGUCAUCAUGCCCCUUAUGUCCAGGGCUUCACACAUGCUACAAUGGCCGGUACAAAGGGCUGCGAUGCCGUGAGGCUUAGCGAAUCCUUUAAAGCCGGUCUCAGUUCGGAUCGGGGUCUGCAACUCGACCCCGUGAAGUCGGAGUCGCUAGUAAUCGCAGAUCAGCAACGCUGCGGUGAAUACGUUCCCGGGCCUUGUACACACCGCCCGUCACGUCAUGAAAGUCGGUAACACCCGAAGCCAGUGGCCUAACCCUUGUGGGGGGAGCUGUCGAAGGUGGGAUCGGCGAUUGGGACGAAGUCGUAACAAGGUAACCGUA
rnacentral:rRNA from 1 species